GUAAUUCAUGAAGUUAAUAUCUAAAAUGCUUGGAAGUAUAUACAUAUGUGGUUUGGAUAAAGUGAGCUAGUCCAUUGCCAUGCUUAUCUAGCUGCCGUCUUAGGUGUGCCUGAUCUUAAUUGUUUGCUACCAAGUUGAUUGCUCUGGUUGAAGCCAGGUGUGGGGUUCAGCAGCGACACUGGUGUCAGGAAGUUUAUGGAGCAUCAGCCCCCCUGUUGGAAAGCCAGAGGUAGAUUUCCUCAGCCUUCACAAGCAUCUUCUGGUGACACCAUGGGUUGCCAACGAGGAGGUGAACACCGAGAAGGAUUCCACAGAGAAUGUAGACCUCAACCAGCUAGGCACUAUUCACCAAGGAGUAAUGUGACUGGAGAUUAAAUCUGAGCAACUCACUCUGAGCAACACCAACAGCAAGGACAACCGUAACAAAGAUGUCCUCCCCCUGCAAGAGAGGACGGAGCUGGAGGCAAAUAGCCAAAGAAGAAAAAGAACGCCAUUAGGAAGAUCUUCAGCCGCCUCUGGAGGAUCAUAACGUGUUCCUCUGGGAUCUUCAGAGAGGACGACAACUGAGCUGCCUCCAUUGUAAAUAACUGUUUUACAAGUUGAUACCACCAACUGUAACAUCAUCAUGGCCAAUUAUAUCAUUUUAUGUAAAUAACCCAA
rnacentral:lncRNA from 1 species